rnacentral:rRNA from 1 species
GUGAGUAAUGCCUAGGAAUCUGCCUGGUAGUGGGGGAUAACGUCCGGAAACGGGCGCUAAUACCGCAUACGUCCUGAGGGAGAAAGUGGGGGAUCUUCGGACCUCACGCUAUCAGAUGAGCCUAGGUCGGAUUAGCUAGUUGGUGGGGUAAAGGCCUACCAAGGCGACGAUCCGUAACUGGUCUGAGAGGAUGAUCAGUCACACUGGAACUGAGACACGGUCCAGACUCCUACGGGAGGCAGCAGUGGGGAAUAUUGGACAAUGGGCGAAAGCCUGAUCCAGCCAUGCCGCGUGUGUGAAGAAGGUCUUCGGAUUGUAAAGCACUUUAAGUUGGGAGGAAGGGCAGUAAGUUAAUACCUUGCUGUUUUGACGUUACCAACAGAAUAAGCACCGGCUAACUUCGUGCCAGCAGCCGCGGUAAUACGAAGGGUGCAAGCGUUAAUCGGAAUUACUGGGCGUAAAGCGCGCGUAGGUGGUUCAGCAAGUUGGAUGUGAAAUCCCCGGGCUCAACCUGGGAACUGCAUCCAAAACUACUGAGCUAGAGUACGGU